GACGAACGCUGGCGGCGUGCUUAACACAUGCAAGUCGAACGGAAAGGCCCUGCUUUUGUGGGGUGCUCGAGUGGCGAACGGGUGAGUAACACGUGAGUAACCUGCCCUUGACUUUGGGAUAACUUCAGGAAACUGGGGCUAAUACCGGAUAGGAGCUCCUGCUGCAUGGUGGGGGUUGGAAAGUUUCGGCGGUUGGGGAUGGACUCGCGGCUUAUCAGCUUGUUGGUGGGGUAGUGGCUUACCAAGGCUUUGACGGGUAGCCGGCCUGAGAGGGUGACCGGCCACAUUGGGACUGAGAUACGGCCCACACUCCUACGGGAGACAGCAGUGGGGAAUAUUGCACAAUGGGCGGAAGCCUGAUGCAGCAACGCCGCGUGCGGGAUGACGGCCUUCGGGUUGUAAACCGCUUUCGCCUGUGACGAAGCGUGAGUGACGGUAAUGGGUAAAGAAGCACCGGCUAACUACGUG
rnacentral:rRNA from 1 species